CCCUCUGGGGGCCCGAGUUGUAAUUUGAAGAGGAUGCUUUUGGCGAGGCGCCUUCCGAGUGCCCUGGAACGGGACGCCACAGAGGGUGAGAGCCCCGUAUGGUAGGACGCCGAGCCUCUGUAAAGCUCCUUCGACGAGUCGAGUAGUUUGGGAAUGCUGCUCAAAAUGGGAGGUAAACCCCUUCUAAAGCUAAAUAUUGGCCAGAGACCGAUAGCGCACAAGUAGAGUGAUCGAAAGAUGAAAAGCACUUUGAAAAGAGAGUUAAACAGCACGUGAAAUUGUUGAAAGGGAAGCGCUUGCGACCAGACUUGCGCCCGUCGGAUCAACCGUCCCUCGUGGGCGGCGCACUCCGGCGGGCUCAGGCCAGCAUCAGUUUUCCUGGGGGUAGAAAGGCGGUGGGAAUGUAGCUCUUCGGAGUGUUAUAGCCCGCCGCGUAAUGCCCUCGGGGGGACUGAGGACCGCGCGUAUGCAAGGAUGCUGGCGUAAUGGUCGUCAGCGACCCGUCUUGAAACACGGACCAAGGAGUCGUCCUAAUAUGCGAGUGUACGGGUGUAAAACCCCUGCGCGUAAUGAAAGUGAACGGAGGUGAGAGCNUCGGCGCAUCAUCGACCGAUCCUGAUGUUCUCGGAUGGAUUUGAGUAAGAGCAUAUUGGGCCGGACCCGAAAGAAGG
rnacentral:rRNA from 1 species